rnacentral:rRNA from 1 species
AUUGAACGCUGGCGGUAGGCCUAACACAUGCAAGUCGAACGGCAGCACAGGAGAGCUUGCUCUCUGGGUGGCGAGUGGCGGACGGGUGAGGAAUACAUCGGAAUCUACCUUUUCGUGGGGGAUAACGUAGGGAAACUUACGCUAAUACCGCAUACGACCUACGGGUGAAAGUGGGGGACCGCAAGGCCCCACGCGAUUAGAUGAGCCGAUGUCCGAUUAGCUAGUUGGCGGGGUAAUGGCCCACCAAGGCGACGAUCGGUAGCUGGUCUGAGAGGAUGAUCAGCCACACUGGAACUGAGACACGGUCCAGACUCCUACGGGAGGCAGCAGUGGGGAAUAUUGGACAAUGGGCGCAAGCCUGAUCCAGCCAUACCGCGUGGGUGAAGAAGGCCUUCGGGUUGUAAAGCCCUUUUGUUGGGAAAGAAAUCCUGUCGAUUAAUACUCGGUGGGGAUGACGGUACCCAAAGAAUAAGCACCGGCUAACUUCGUGCCAGCCGCCGCAGUAAAAC